rnacentral:rRNA from 1 species
GACGGAGGAUGCAAGCGUUAUCCGGAAUGAUUGGGCGUAAAGCGUGCGUAGGUGGUUCGUUAAGUCUGAUGUGAAAGCCCUGGGCUCAACCUGGGAAUUGCAUUGGAUACUGGCGAGCUAGAGUGCGGUAGAGGAUGGCGGAAUUCCCGGUGUAGCAGUGAAAUGCGUAGAGAUCGGGAGGAACAUCUGUGGCGAAGGCGGCCAUCUGGACCAGCACUGACACUGAGGCACGAAAGCGUGGGGAGCAAACAGG